AAUGCUGUUCCAAUAACUUGUCUACAAGAUAUGUUCUCAACGGGCUUGUAGCAAGCUUGUUAACAAGUUGUGUCAAUACUGUUCCAAAAGCAAGCUUGUAGACAAGUUGUUGGAACAGCAUUAUCACGACAAGUUUGUCUUCUAAAAUUGCCUCAGCCAGCAAUUUAUUUUGCGCCGCCAUCUUGGAUGUUUACUUUCGUAUACUACGCAUGCGCUGUUACGACAAUCCGUAAGCAGAUAGCUUUCGUUCGCCGCACACGGAAAGAUUUUUGCACGCGAGGCAGAAAUUAUCAAACAUGUUAGAUAUUUGGCGUAAGUGGCACGAAUGACAAAAGUCGUUCGUAAAUCGCCCGCACACGAGAGCUAUCUCCUUACGCCAACAGUCACGAAUGACAUUUUGCUAAGCACAUAGCUCUAGUGUGCGCCGGGCUUUAGGUCUUCUUGAGAGAACUUGCCCACUGUUAUAGCUGAUAUUCAAGUGAGACGGACAUUAUACUUAACUCUUGUCAACUGUCAAGUCACCGUUACGUUAUGCUACCCAAGUUUGGUCCCCGGUGCAGGACAUGCUCAAAGCCAAGCUUGAAAGAGUACAGAGGCGAGCUACCAAAUGGAUCUUCGGUUACAAAG